CAGAAUCAGCGGGGAAAGAAGACCCUGUUGAGCUUGACUCUAGUUUGACAUUGUGAAAAGACAUAGGAGGUGUAGAAUAGGGGGGAGCUUCGGCGCCGGUGAAAUACCACUACUCCUAUUGUUUUUUUACUUAUUCAGUGAAGCGGGGCUGGACUUGCGUCCAACUUCUGGGUUUAAGGUCCUUCGCGGGCCGACCCGGGUUGAAGAAAUUGUCAGGUGGGGAGUUUGGCUGGGGCGGCACAUCUGUUAAACCAUAACGCAGAUGUCUUAAGGGGGGCUCAUGGAGACCAGAAAUCUCCAGAAGAACAAAGGGUAAAAAGUCCCCUGG
rnacentral:rRNA from 1 species